GACGUAGGGGGCAAGCGUUAUUCGGAAUUAUUGGGCGUAAAGCGCUCGUAGGCGGGACUGGAAGUCCGUGUUGAAAGACCUCGGCUCAACUGAGGGACCGGCUCGGAUACUCUAGUUCUUGAGGCAAUCAGAGGGUGAUGGAAUUCCCGGUGUAGCGGUGAAAAUGCGUAGAUAUCGGGAGGAACACCAGUGGCGAAGGCGAUCACCUGGGGGUUGUUCUGACGCUGAGGAGCGAAAGCUAGGGGAGCAAACGGG
rnacentral:rRNA from 1 species